rnacentral:misc_RNA from 1 species
GAUGAAGAACGUAGCGAAAUGCGAUAAGUAAUGUGAAUUGCAGAAUUCAGUGAAUCAUCGAAUGUUUGAACGCACCUUGCGCUCCUUGGCAUUCCGAGGAGCAUGCCUGUUUGAGUGUCAUUAAAUUCUCAAGACGUGUCUGCUUUUUUGAUAGGUAUUGGAUUUUGGGGGUUGCAGGCUGUUUCAAAUAAAUAGCCUUGCUCUCCUUGAAUGUAUUAGUGGAGAAAAGCCAUUGAACUCCAUUGGUGUGAUAAAACCUAUCAAUGCCAGGAGCAAUAUCACUACUUCUCUCUGCUGUCUAACUGUGACUGUCUGUAUUAAUUAGUAUGGAUGGGGACAACUUGACCAACUUGACCUCAAAUCAGGUAGGACUACCCGCUGAACUUAAGCAUAUCAAUAAGCGGAGGA